GCGUGUAGCUCAGUUGGUAGAGCGUUGAUCUAUAGUAAUUCGAAGGUCGCGGGUUCAAAAUCCAGCCGCUGCG